AGAAACUAAAAACAAUGAAAAACUCAUUCAAAUAUUUCAUCAAACACUUGAUGUGCACAUUAUACAUAGACUCUAAAAUUCAUAAAAAUAACCUUAAAAUUAUAAAUCAUAUACUCUUGCUAAAAUAAAAAAAAUUAAUCAUAUAACAUAAAAAUAACCCUAAAAUUAUAAAUCAUCUACCCUAAAAAUUAAUUAUAACAUGUAAAUCUACUAACAAAAUUAAAAAAAAA
rnacentral:lncRNA from 1 species